rnacentral:tRNA from 1 species
UCCCAAGUGGCUCAGUGGUAAAGUACCUGCCUGCUAAUGCAGGAGACGCAGGGGACACAGGCUGGAUCCCUAUGUUGGGAA